UACGAAGGGGGCUAGCGUUGCUCGGAAUCACUGGGCGUAAAGGGUGCGUAGGCGGGUCUUUUAAGUCAGGGGUGAAAUCCCGGAGCUCAACUUCGGAAUUGCCUUUGAUACUGUCUGUCUUGAGUCCGGGAGAGGUGAGUGGAAUUCCUAGUGUAGAGGUGAAAUUCGUAGAUAUUAGGAAGAACACCAGUGGCGAAGGCGGCUCACUGGCCCGGUACUGAUGCUCAUGUGCGAAAGCGUGGGGAGCAAACAGG
rnacentral:rRNA from 1 species